CCUACGGGAGGCAGCAGUGAGGAAUAUUGGUCAAUGGGCGGGAGCCUGAACCAGCCAAGCCGCGUGAAGGAAGAAGGUGCCUAGUAUUGUAAACUUCUUUUGUCGAGGGACAAAGUCAGAGACGCGUCUCCGGCUGAGUGUACCCGAAGAAAAAGCAUCGGCUAACUCCGUGCCAGCAGCCGCGGUAAUACGGAGGAUGCGAGCGUUAUCCGGAUUUAUUGGGUUUAAAGGGUGCGUAGGCGGACGGUCAAGUCAGCGGUAAAAUGUCGGGGCUCAACCCCGGCCGGCCGUUGAAACUGGGUUUCUAGAGUUGUCGAGAGGUAUGCGGAAUUCGUGGUGUAGCGGUGAAAUGCUUAGAUAUUACGAAGAACUCCGAUUGCGAAGGCAGCAUACCGGCUGCAUUCUGACGCUGAGGCACGAAAGCGUGGGGAUCGAACAGGAUUAGAUACCCGAGUAGUC
rnacentral:rRNA from 1 species